AUUGAACGCUGGCGGCAGGCCUAACACAUGCAAGUCGAACGAGUGGCGGACGGGUGAGUAAUGUCUGGGAAACUGCCCGAUGGAGGGGGAUAACUACUGGAAACGGUAGCUAAUACCGCAUACCAUCGGAUGUGCCCAGAUGGGAUUGGCGAGUAGGUGGGGGAACGGCUCACCUAGGCGACGAUCCCUAGCUGGUCGGAGAGGCUGACAGGCCACACUGGAACUUAGACACGGUCCAGACUCCUAGGGGAGGCCGCAGUGGGGAAUAUUGCACAAUGGGCGCAAGCCUGAUGCAGCCAGGCCGAGUGUGUGAAGAAGGCCUUCGGGUUGUAAAGUACUUUCAGCGGGGAGGCGUUACCCGCAGAAGAAGCACCGGCUAACUCCGUGCCAGCAGCCGCGGUAAUAC
rnacentral:rRNA from 1 species